rnacentral:lncRNA from 1 species
GCGGCCUAUUCCCUAACAUUCUGAAUACUCAACUGUCUUCCUACCUACCUUUUUGGGAAUGUCAGUACGUGGCAGUGGGAAUAUGCAGCGGUUCUCUGAGAUACCGCGGCCUAUUCCCCUGCCAAUUUAUUGCAGGGGCUGACCGAUGGGGAAUGUCAGUAGGUUGUAGUGGGAAUAUGCCGCGAUUGCUCAGAGAACCGCGACCGAUUCCCCUGUUAUUUAAUUUUUUCCUGACGUGACGUCAAAAUUGAUGGUUGACCUGGGGUAUAUGUCGCGGUUCAGUUGGGAACCGUGGCAUAUAAGUUGGAUUUAUUUACAAAACUGCCACCGCGCA